GCUAGUUAGCUAGCCAUCCCCUUUUUCGUUUUGUUUUACAAAAAUAAUAGCCAUUCGCGUUUUUUUUUUUUUUUUUUUCCUGUAUCUGAAUUCUAAUAUAAGAUUUUUUAGGUCAUUCGGUUAACCAUUCAUUUACUUUAUUUGUGGGCUUGUGUGUUUUUUAACUUCGACUGUUGGUGGUGGUAAUGCACCAAAAAGUCGAGUAACGUUACAAAUAUAGAACAGAAGAAGAAACACGGAACAGUCAAAAAGCAUAACGUAAAUGCUUAUAUACUGUCUAUGCGUAAAUGCAUGCCUGUACAAAAAAAAACUAGGGUUCAGCGGUUUGAAUCAAUAGGGAACUAUUUCUUAUUCUGUUGGUGCCAAUUACAACAAUGACGUCUGAUAGACACCAGUGUUCGUGUUGCUCCCAUCCAGUCUCCUCUCCUAGUGUUUACCAGACGCUGAGUGAAAUGGAUUUUGAACGAGGUAUCUGGUCUGCUGCAAUGGAUGGGGACUUGGAGAGGGUCAGGUCCCUGGUCCAGAAGGGCACAGACCCUAACCUGAGAGACUCAGCUGGAUACACAGCUCUGCACUAUGCAAGUCGCAGUGGUCAUCACGCUGUAUGCAAGUUUCUUCUCGAGAAUGGUGCUUGUGCAUCUCCCCAGACACCAGGCGGUGCCACACCGCUCCAUCGAUCCGCUUACUGCGGCCACCUGGAAGUGGUUCGACUCCUGCUGCACCACAGAGCAGAUCCAAUGCUCCAUGAUGACGAUGGUGCAUCUCCUUUACAUAAGGCUGCAGAACAGGGACACGGAGAGGUAUGUCAGCUGCUUGUCGAGCACUGUGCAGCGCUCUGCAGCCAGGUGAACAAGAGGCUCCAGCUCCCCUUCCAGCUGGCACCGCAGGGAGACCUGCAGGAGCUCUUAAAACCACCUCAGUGAUGACAGACACACCGCAUCUGGGGCAUGCUGCGAUCACACAAAUGACAUAAGCUCAAGACAUACUAGUUUACUGCUUGUGUAGUCUAUAUCCACGGCAUUCCAAUUCCGGGAUUGCUGUGGUGCCCCCGGAAAUUCCGCCGGUUGUCCCUCUUUUGGGCCAGAUGUCCGUUACCUUCAUCUUUCUUUGUGUUGGAAUUUUAAAAUCUGGUGGAUUUAUGAGGACUAUGGUUAACUGCUCCUCAGAU